GUGUGUCCGAUCCUCUCCUACCCGCGACGUACGAUCUCUCCGAAAUCUACCGGUACUAAAUCGAGCGUGCCGCGUCUCACGCGACAUUUAUCAAAAACAUAUCCCUUUAUUUCGUGAAAUACCUUCCACGGUCCGAUCACCAGCUCUCCGAACUACGGUCAGUAAAGUUUCAUUUAGUAAUUACCUAAGUUUUUGUUUUGGACUUUUCAUAGUGAAAUUGAAGGAUCGUUAGAUUCAAGACUUUACACGUGGUUAGUCGGCUCUUCGUAUAAUUCUGUAGGUCGGUGCAAAAAAGGAUUGUUUGGAUUGUGGCAAAGGAAAAGCGUCCGUAUAGAAAAGCGGCCGGCCCCGCGCCGCCCGGUCUCAUUUGCAUCUGUCAAGCACUAGAUUGGACAACGGGAUUUAAUGUACUGUGUUUAAGGCUCACCUCAUCCCGAAUUCAAUACAGUCCAACGAAUCUAAUUAG